rnacentral:rRNA from 1 species
CCUACGGGUGGCAGCAGUGAGGAAUAUUGGUCAAUGGACGAGAGUCUGAACCAGCCAAGUAGCGUGAAGGAUGACUGCCCUAUGGGUUGUAAACUUCUUUUAUAAAGGAAUAAAACGAGGCACGUGUGCCUUUUUGCAUGUACUUUAUGAAUAAGGAUCGGCUAACUCCGUGCCAGCAGCCGCGGUAAUACGGAGGAUCCGAGCGUUAUCCGGAUUUAUUGGGUUUAAAGGGAGCGUAGAUGGGUUGUUAAGUCAGUUGUGAAAGUUUGCGGCUCAACCGUAAAAUUGCAAUUGAUACUGGCAGUCGUGAGUACAGUUGAGGUAGGCGGAAUUCGUGGUGUAGCGGUGAAAUGCUUAGAUAUCACGAAGAACCCCGAUUGCGAAGGCAGCUUACUAAAAUGUGACUGACAUUGAUGCUCGAAAGUGUGGGUAUCAAACAGGAUUAGAUACCCGAGUAGUC